rnacentral:lncRNA from 1 species
UCACUACUCUUUCCUUCUAUAAUACCUCCUGCUACUACUAAUGGCUAACUUUUUCCUAUAGAGAAAACCAACUCCUGCCAUCUUUAUUUCUUCAACUUUCAUUUGCUGCUGCCCCAAAAACUUGCCAAGCAAAGAAAACCCCACCAAAUUAUGGAUCAGUAAGUCCAUUCUUGUGGUAACCCAGCUUCCACCUGCAUUCCAGGUGGUGAUCUGCUGCUCCAGCUCUGCUUCUCGUUCGAACCGAAAUCGACACCACCAUUGCCAUUCCUUGCAACCAUUGCAUCUGAUAACACCAAAAACAGAACAACCUAAUUAGUCAAAAUUCAACUCCAAUAUUUCUUUCAUUUCAGUGUAUUGUUACGGGAAAUCAAAUGUAAAACUUACCGUUUUCAAAUGUAAAACGGCCACUAGGAACAAUACGACGAUGAUAAGCCUGAUGAACAGCCAUUUUGUCAAGGUUCAAUUCCAGGGCUUGAACAACUCUUGCAGGAAGCAGAACGGUGGUUGAACCA